rnacentral:lncRNA from 1 species
CUGGAGCCUCAAGAACCAGGCUUCAGCCACUGCUCUACAGCUCUGGAGUGAAUAUAGCUUCACUCUUGUUGUACAGGUGUGCUAGCACUCAAUGCUAAAGAUGGCACCCAGUUCAAGGUCAGCAAAUGGAAGGCAUCCUCGCCCACAACUCUUCAGUGGACAUGGCUUCUCUAUCAGAGAGCGCUUUUCAGCUAAGUCCAGAUGCAGGCCUGAAGUCUUCUCUGCCCAUCCCUCCAGAAGGCCACUGUGAUAACCUGAAUUGGGAAGGAAAGAGAAGCCCCGUUGCCUUCCAAGAUCACCUUCUUCUUUUUUUUUCCUCCAGGCAGAUUUUCAGGCUAAUUUUCCCAGGGGGAAAAAAAUUAGUAUCUCUCCUGUUUGAAAGCAUUCUGAGAUGAAAAUGAAAUAGAAAUUGAAGAUUGUUUCCAUUCUUAAGGGUUUUGGUCAAUCGUUUUUAGAAAUUUCUUCCUGGGAUUUAUAUUAUUUUCCUCCCACUUUACCUCUCCUGUGUCCAUUUUGGAGAAAAGCACCUCGUUUAUCUUUGGGAGACAGUAACGCAGAAACUGUAACUGAGCCGAUUUCCCCUUGAGGAUCAAAAUAUUUGUGUUAAAUGAAAUGAGAAAUCUGCUAAGUGGCGGCAUGCAUCCCCCAGGGAAGGAUAUUUUGUAAUUUUGAAAAAUUCCUACUGAAAUUCUUCUCUUGCCAAGAAAAGAGGAAUGAUUUCUGUUAAAAUUACUUCAUGUCUGAAUUACUCUCUGCCCCUCGGGAACAUAUAACAUUACAGCUUUUAUGCUCAGUAAUUUAGAAGGACGGGGGGACACCUUAUUUGGAAAGCAUGCAGACUUAACACGAAAUGUUGGGUAUUAAGUAGUUUCACCACAAAAGUCUCGUUUUGAAAAUUUUGCACUUAAACAGUUCAAAUUAAAGUUCGUUUUUAGAACUGGUUUUUAUGAUUGUCUGUAUAAGUCCUUUUAACUUUCUACUCUUAUCUCACCAUUCCCUGAAGCUGCAGAGAAAAUCCUUUGAUUGGUGUUCAAGAGUUGUACCUUUUAUAGAAAACAGGAUAGAUGGCAUCACUUUAAUAAGGCAGGUGCAUGCUUUGAAGCCAGUCAAAUAAGUUAAUUUUAUUAAAAUAUAUGUAUCUGCUUCUGUGUAUGUUAUAGUACAGGCUUUGGAAAGGCACGAGAGAUAGAAAAUAGGUUUAAACUCACAGGCCAACUCUGAUCAAGUAUUAUGGAUCCCACUGGCACUGUGUUGGGAAAGAUUCUGAGGCCAAAUUCAGGUUCAGGGGGAAAAAAAGUGAAAGAUGAGUAUUCUUCUUUGAUUACAGGUGGCCAAUUUUAAGCACAAGCACCAAACACAGAUGUCAUCACUGACACGUAUUAAAUAUCAAGAGAAGUGCCUUCUGGCUUGUGUAAUUGAAGUAGUUUUCUGUGUUUUCUAAUUUUCUGCAGUAAAUAUGUAUUGUUUCUGUGAUGAGAUUAAAGCUAUUUUUUAUUCUUUUUAAACUGGAAAAAUUGUU